GUGACGGCAACUUCCGCCAGGCGCGCGGUAGGGUGAGAGGGAAGGGACAAUCUUGGUGAGGACGGCGACGCCAGCGCGAGGAGGCGCUGUGGAGGCUGAAGAACGGCGUCUGAGGCGAAAGCACUCCCUGGUGACUUGCGGCUCUGGAGAGAAGCUGAUCACUCUAGCAUAGAAUGUUGGAAGAAUACCUGGCCCACAGUCAAAGAUGAAAAAGGUCUCCCAAGACCCAGUGAGAAGUCUGGAAAAUCUGUCAAUCACCAUGGUCCUACAGUAAUCCACGUAAUAUUUACUGUGUACCUAGUGUGUGCCCUACAGAGAGAGUGUUGAGUCAUCCCUACUGGUUGUAUCUCAGACAUUCUUCUUUGUCAUCUAGCCCCUGGCCUGGUCCCAGAAUCAACUCCUCAAAAACCCAGAUAACGGGGCUGGCCCCGUGGCCGAGUGGUUAAGUUUGUGCGCUCUGCUGCAGGCGGCCCAGUGUUUCGUUGGUUCGAAUCCUGGGCGCGGACAUGGCACUGCUCAUCUAAACCACGCUGAG